rnacentral:tRNA from 1 species
GGGGAUGCAGCUCAGCGGUAGAGCACUUGCCUAGCAUGCAUGAAGUCCUGGGUUUCAUCCCCAGCACCACAA